GAUGAACGCUAGCUACAGGCUUAACACAUGCAAGUCGAGGGGCAGCAUGGUCUUAGCUUGCUAAGGCCGAUGGCGACCGGCGCACGGGUGAGUAACACGUAUCCAACCUGCCGUCUACUCUUGGACAGCCUUCUGAAAGGAAGAUUAAUACAAGAUGGCAUCAUGAGUCCACAUGUUCACAUGAUUAAAGGUAUUCCGGUAGACGAUGGGGAUGCGUUCCAUUAGAUAGUAGGCGGGGUAACGGCCCACCUAGUCUUCGAUGGAUAGGGGUUCUGAGAGGAAGGUCCCCCACAUUGGAACCGAGACACGGUCCAAACUCCUACGGGAGGCAGCAGUGAGGAAUAUUGGUCAAUGGGCGAGAGCCUGAACCAGCCAAGUAGCGUGAAGGAUGACUGCCCUAUGGGUUGUAAACUUCUUUUAUAAAGGAAUAAAGUCGGGUAUGGAUACCCGUUUGCAUGUACUUUAUGAAUAAGGAUCGGCUAACUCCGUGCCAGCAGCCGCGGUAAUACGGAGGAUCCGAGCGUUAUCCGGAUUUAUUGGGUUUAAAGGGAGCGUAGAUGGAUGUUUAAGUCAGUUGUGAAAGUUUGCGGCUCAACCGUAAAAUUGCAGUUGAUACUGGAUAUCUUGAGUGCAGUUGAGGCAGGCGGAAUUCGUGGUGUAGCGGUGAAAUGCUUAGAUAUCACGAAGAACUCCGAUUGCGAAGGCAGCCUGCUAAGCUGCAACUGACAUUGAGGCUCGAAAGUGUGGGUAUCAAACAGGAUUAGAUACCCUGGUAGUCCACACGGUAAACGAUGAAUACUCGCUGUUUGCGAUAUACAGCAAGCGGCCAAGCGAAAGCGUUAAGUAUUCCACCUGGGGAGUACGCCGGCAACGGUGAAACUCAAAGGAAUUGACGGGGGCCCGCACAAGCGGAGGAACAUGUGGUUUAAUUCGAUGAUACGCGAGGAACCUUACCCGGGCUUAAAUUGCAGAUGAAUUACGGUGAAAGCCGUAAGCCGCAAGGCAUCUGUGAAGGUGCUGCAUGGUUGUCGUCAGCUCGUGCCGUGAGGUGUCGGCUUAAGUGCCAUAACGAGCGCAACCCUUGUUGUCAGUUACUAACAGGUUCCGCUGAGGACUCUGACAAGACUGCCAUCGUAAGAUGUGAGGAAGGUGGGGAUGACGUCAAAUCAGCACGGCCCUUACGUCCGGGGCUACACACGUGUUACAAUGGGGGGUACAGAGGGCCGCUACCACGCGAGUGGAUGCCAAUCCCAAAAACCUCUCUCAGUUCGGACUGGAGUCUGCAACCCGACUCCACGAAGCUGGAUUCGCUAGUAAUCGCGCAUCAGCCACGGCGCGGUGAAUACGUUCCCGGGCCU
rnacentral:rRNA from 1 species